rnacentral:rRNA from 1 species
UGCGUAGGUGGUGGGGUAAGUCUCGUGUGAAAGCUCGCAGCUUAACUGCGAAAAGUCACGGGAUACUAUUCCGCUAGAGGCUUGGGAGGGGGGACUGGAAUACUUGGUGUAGCAGUGAAAUGCGUAGAUAUCAAGUGGAACACCAGUGGCGAAGGCGAGUCCCUGGACAAGACCUGACACUGAGGCACGAAAGCCAGGGGAGCAAACA